UGGGGAAUCUUAGACAAUGGGGGCAACCCUGAUCUAGCCAUGCCGCGUGAGUGAUGAAGGCCUUAGGGUUGUAAAGCUCUUUCAGCUGGGAAGAUAAUGACGGUACCAGCAGAAGAAGCCCCGGCUAACUCCCGUGCCAGCAGCCGCGGUAAUACGGAGGGGGCUAGCGUUGUUCGGAAUUACUGGGCGUAAAGCGCACGUAGGCGGAUCGGAAAGUUGGGGGUGAAAUCCCCGGGGCUCAACCUCGAAACUCCCUUCAAAACUAUCGGUCUUGAGUUCCGAGAGAGGUGAGUGGAAUUCCGAGUGUAGAGGUGAAAUUCGUAGAUAUUCGGAGGAACACCAGUGGCGAAGGCGGCUCACUGGCUCGAUACUGACGCUGAGGUGCGAAAGCGUGGGGAGCAAACAGGAUUAGAUACCCCUGGUAGUCCCACGCCGUAAACGAUGAUAUUCCAGUCGUCGGGCAAUAUACUGUUCGGUGUCUCACCUAACGGAUAAGCAUCCGCCUGCGUAUACGGCC
rnacentral:rRNA from 1 species